GACGAACGCUGGCGGCGUGCUUAACACAUGCAAGUCGAACGGAAAGGCGCUGCUUUUGUUGCGUGCACGAUUGGCGAGGGGGGGAGUAACACGUGAGUAACCUGCCCUUGACUGUGGGAGAACUUCAGGAAACUGGGGCUAAUACCGGAUAGGAGCUCUUGCUGCAUGUUGGUGGAUGGUAAGAGUCGGCGGUUGGGGAUGGAUUCGCUGCUUAUCAGCUGGAUGGUCGGGUAGGGGCUGACCAGGGCUUUGACGGGUAGCCUGCCUGAGAGGGUGAACGGCCACAUUGGGACUGCGAUACGGCCCAGUAUCCUACGGGAGGCAGCAGUGGGGAACCUGGCGGAAUGGGGGGAAGCGUGUGGCGGAAACGCUGCGUGCGUGAUGCCGUCUUUCGGGUUGUAAACAGAUUUGGAAUGUGAUGAAGAGUGCGUGACGGUAAUGGGUAAAGAAGCCCCGGCUAACUACGUG
rnacentral:rRNA from 1 species